rnacentral:rRNA from 1 species
UACGAACUGUGCGAACGUUAUUCGGAAUCACUGGGCUUACAGGGUGCGUAGGCGGCUUGUCAAGUAGGGUGUGAAAGCCCCCGGCUUAACCGGGGAAUUGCGCCCUAAACUGGCGAGCUGGAGUGAGAUAGGGGUGUGUGGAACUUCCGGUGGAGCGGUGAAAUGUGUUGAUAUCGGAAGGAACGCCGGUGGCGAAAGCGACACACUGGAUCUUGUCUGACGCUGAGGCACGAAAGCCAGGGGAGCGA